GCAACUGAUUAUAUGAGGUGAGGGCUAAAGGUAAACGGGUACGGUAUUAGGGUUGAUUCUGGAGAAAGAGCCUGAGAACGGCUACUACAUCUACGGAAGGCAGCAGGCGCGUAAUUACCCAAUCCUGACUCAGGGAGGUGGUGACAAGAUAUACAACGCAAUUUCAUUGUGAUUGUAGUGAGGGUAUUCCAAACCGAACCACUAGUACGAUUAGAGGGCAAGUCUGGUGCCAGCAGCCGCGGUAAUUCCAGCUCUAAUAGCGUAUAUUAAAGUUGCUGCAGUUAAAAAGCUCGUAGUUGGAUUUCAAGGAUUGUGUACUCUCUCAGAGUAUGCACCCUACUAGUCUUUGACUUGUUACUGUGAGAAAUUAGAGUGUUAAAGCAGGCUAUUGCAAGAAUACAUUAGCAUGGAAUAACGAAUGUAUCUAGAAUCUUGGUUUAUUCUAGGUUUCGAUUAUAGAGACAGUGGGGGCAUUAGCACCAACGCUCACGUGAAAUUCUUGGAUUUGUUAAGACUACGUAUGCGAUAGCUUUUGCCAAGGAUGUCUUCAUUAUCAAGACGAAGAUAGGGAUCAACGACAUCAGAUACUGUCGUAGUCCUAUCUAUAACUAUGCCGACUAGGGAUUGGAAUGAAACAUCACAUUUCAGUACCUUAUGAGAAUCAAGCUUUGGGUUCUGGGGGGAGUAUGUCGCAGACUGAACUAAGAAUUGACGAGGCACCACAGAUGGAGCCUGCGCUUACUGACUCAAAGGCACUACAGUCGACUAUAAGAUGAAGAUUGAUAGCCUUCUGAUCCUGGUGG
rnacentral:rRNA from 1 species